UUGGUUCUCUUUGCAAAGCGAUAUAUACAUGCAGGAGAAGAAAUCAGAUAUGAUUAUGGUGUUACAGGCUUAUCUUGGAGAAAGGUGCCUAAAGAACAAAGAAAAACAACAAAAAAGAUAAAGGAAACUGAUCAGGUGAAAGAUUGUUUUGUGAGAUUGACAAGGCUUCCAGUAAAACAGCUGACCAAACUUGACAGCAA